rnacentral:rRNA from 1 species
AAUGGUGGCUAUAGCAAGGGGGAUCCACCUCUUACCAUUCCGAACAGAGAAGUUAAGCCCCUUCACGCCGAUGGUACUGCCGCAAGGUGGGAGAGUAGGUAGCUGCCUAUC